ACGGGGUGAGUAAUACAUCGGAACAUGUCCUGUAGUGGGGGAUAGCCCGGCGAAAGCCGGAUUAAUACCGCAUACGAUCUACGGAUGAAAGCGGGGGAUCGCAAGACCUCGCGCUAUAGGGUUGGCCGAUGGCUGAUUAGCUAGUUGGUGGGGUAAAGGCCUACCAAGGCGACGAUCAGUAGCUGGUCUGAGAGGACGACCAGCCACACUGGGACUGAGACACGGCCCAGACUCCUACGGGAGGCAGCAGUGGGGAAUUUUGGACAAUGGGCGAAAGCCUGAUCCAGCAAUGCCGCGUGUGUGAAGAAGGCCUUCGGGUUGUAAAGCACUUUUGUCCGGAAAGAAAUCCUUGGUCCUAAUAUGGCCGGGGGAUGACGGUACCGGAAGAAUAAGCACCGGCUAACUACGUGCCAGCAGCCGCGGUAAUACGUAGGGUGCGAGCGUUAAUCGGAAUUACUGGGCGUAAAGCGUGCGCAGGCGGUUUGCUAAGACCGAUGUGAAAUCCCCGGGCUCAACCUGGGAACUGCAUUGGUGACUGGCAGGCUAGAGUAUGGCAGAGGGGGGUAGAAUUCCACGUGUAGCAGUGAAAUGCGUAUAGAU
rnacentral:rRNA from 1 species